rnacentral:rRNA from 1 species
GACAGAGGUCCCGAGCGUUAGGCGGAAUCACUGGGCUUAAAGCGUGUGUAGGCGGACUUCUAAGUGCCUUGUGAAAUCCCACGGCUUAACCGUGGAACUGCUUGGCAUACUGGUUGUCUUGGGCCAUCUAGGGGCGAGUGGAACAAACGGUGGAGCGGUGAAAUGCGUAGAUAUCGUUUGGAACGCCAAUGGUGAAAACAACUCGACUGGGGAUGUGCCGACGGCUGAGACACGAAAGCCAGGGGAGCGAACGGG